GCUGGGCAUGGUGGCGCGUGCCUGUAGUCCCAGCUACUGGGGAGGCUGAGGCAGGAGAAUUGCUUGAACCCGGGAGGUGGAGGUUGCAGUGAGCCGAGAUUGUGCCAUUGCACUCCAGCCUGGGUGACAGAGUGAGACUCUGACUCAA
rnacentral:sRNA from 1 species